rnacentral:misc_RNA from 1 species
AAGUCGUAACAAGGUAACCGUAGGUGAACCUGCGGUUGGAUCAUUAACGAAAAUCAUCUUGAUCGGGCGUGGACGUGUCUGUCCUUCUGGGCGGCACGACCGCGUCUACAUCAACCAACCCCAUUUUUAUCUUUUUAAACCUGUUUUUUCACAUUGUUUUUGAACUCGGAGGUCCGCCGACAUUCUUGCAUUGUGGGUGUUCCGACGGGUGACAUUGAAAAGUAACAAUAAACAACUUUUGGCAACGGAUCUCUUGGCUCUC